CUGGGGGGCGGGACUUGAGGGAGCAUCCAAUCCCAGGCGUCCGCGAGGGGCCUCGCCUCCAGCCCCGCGCCCCAGGGACCACCCAGGCUCCCACCUUCCCAGGUCGCUCUCCAGCCGGAUCAGCUCCUCUGCUGCCCAACCUCUCCUGGACCUGUAAACUCCACCCUGACUGUCAGCCCUGAACCUGGUUUCCUAUCUCACCUUCAAGUUCAGCCACAAAACCCACAUCCCUAACCACGGCUCCACCGCAGGCUCCCCCUGUCCUCAGCUCAACCUUAGUCACCCCCCAACCGAAACCCUCUUCCCUUCCGUUCCCCACACUUCAGGGUUUCUUCGGCUCCCAAGGGUCUUGGUGGGAGGGGCUGGGUCCAGCUGUCAAGACCUCGGAGAACAAUCUUUAGAUUUUUUUUUUUAGACAUUUAAGUCUCCAACAUGGUUCUCAAAUAACAACAGUAGCUGUAUAGCUAGGGGCAUAGGAUUAAUUUGGAGCAGGGUAGCUUGUGGUAUGGCACUGUUGCCACUUAAGGGACAUUUGGGACAAUUGAGAGUGGUUAGACUCACUUCCUAAUGAAACACCUCCUUCCCCUGUCAUCGUCCCUUUCUAGUUCCUCACUACUUUCCUUUCCUUCUUAUUCUUUCUUCUUGUAGAUCUCCUGCGCCUACCUCUGACAUAGCUUACUUGGAGAAGUAGGGGAUUCGGUGGGAAGAAAAUGGGAUCUGGUGUUAGAAGAUCAGCUUUGAGUCCCACCCAGCUCUGUCACUGAUGAGCCUGGUGACUUUGGGCAAGCCACUUUCCUAUUCUGAACGUCUAUUCCCUGAGAUGUAAAAUGGGUUAUCAUGUAAUAACUCCUGAUCUCUAUUCUCAUAGAUUGUUGUGAUGAUAAAGUAAAGGGAACAUAUGAAAUGUAUAUUCUGCAAAUAUUUUUAUGGUUACUGAUCCCACGAAGACAGAGCUGAGCUAAUGAGGAUGCUGACCCUUGAUUGUAAGCAACAAGUCCUGGUAUUUACAUAAAGCGCUCUUGCAAAAUGUCCUUCUCAUCAAUCUCCAAUGAGAUGAUAUCAUUGUCUGCAUCUUGUGAUUAAUAAACUCAAUAUAUACAAAUUGAAGGGAAACCAGGAGGCAAAUUAUUAUGGAAAUAUGGAUGUCAAUCAAGUCUCAAGAUCUGGGUUUAAGAUUAGAUCCUGGAAUUUAUAUUAUUGACCUUGGAUUGGUGACUUUACAGCUCUCAGCUCCACUUCCCUCCUCAAAUAACUAAAAAUUAUUUCUGAUCUACAUCUGCUUCAUAGGGAUGUGUAAGCCUCAAAUUAAGGUCAUGUGUUUGUAAGUACCCUGUAAACUUCAAUAUGCCAGAGAUAGUUAAUAUUUGUAUAUGGCCCUAAUUAGUAAUGUUAUCUGAAGAAUCAUUCCAUAGAUACUCUAAAAAAUGCUCUUGAUUUUUUUCUUAGGUCUUAGGAAGACAGAUGUCCAGAGCGGUUCCUAUUACAUUUUAUAUUCUUUAGCCUAAAAGCUCUCUGAGACUUUCCCCUUUCUAAAUGUUAGUACUUAAAAAAAAAAAGGCAAAUUACUCUUUGCCCAUCAUCUUUCCCUUCUCUCUUACACAAUGUGUAAUACUUUCUUCUGUUGCAGGAGUCAGCAAAUGCUUUCUGUAAAGUGCCAGACAGUAAAUAUUUUAGACUUUGUGGGCAACAUAGGGUUUUGUCACAUAUCCCGUCCCAGCCUCCCUUUUCUCUUGCAACCCUUUAGCAUGUAAAAGUCAUUCUUCGUUGGAGGGGCUGUACAAACACAGGCCUGACUGAUUUUGUCUGCAGACCUGUUAUGGACUCUUAUUUUUCUGGGUUCAAGCAGGUUUUAGUUAGUUUCAGCCACUAGUGAUAAUAAUUUUCACAAAAAAGUGUCACUGGUUAGUUAAACAAAGAAAUGUUGUGUGUUAAAAAA